UAUACAACUAAAUUCAAUCAAAUGGACCAAUAGUUGUAAUAGGACCAAAAUUGUUUUAAUAAGAUUAAAAUGUAUGUUUAUAUAUGAUGAGACCUAAAACCCUCAACCAAACCAUUAUUAAGUUGAUAAGCGAGAGAUGCUUUGAACAUCUCUUCGUAGGCCUUCCACCAUGGUGGGCUUCAAUCGUUUGUGACUCAUACACCGUAUUCGUCCAGUUCUGGGGUAUGUAAAGUAUGUGCUUACAUUCAGGAGAAGCCUAUAAACAUAUGAUGAAGU
rnacentral:lncRNA from 1 species